GCUUUGGUUGUGGCGCGAGGGCUCGGCUCAGGACAGCUGGUAGCGCCGCCCUCUUCACGUGACCCCGCCGAUCCCGAGCCGCGCUCCUUGGUCCCCGCCGCCUCGGUCCCCGCUGCAACUACUUCGGCGCUGGCGAGCCAAGGUGUGACAACAUGGCGGCUCUGCUCGUGAAGACCCUACUGGCGGCUGCCGCCACCCCGCUGUGUUACCUGCGGCACGGCGCGCCCCCGCGCCUGCCCUUUUCUUCCCUGGGCUUCGGACACUUCCUAGCGGCCGCGCCAGCGUUGGUCGCCAAGAAGCGCAGCCUGGCAGGUCAGCCACUGCUUGCAAGCAGCCAGCUUCCAGUCGUACAGACGGUUAUGGGGAUGAAAACAAAAGGUGUAAUCAAAAGGCGUUGUAAGGACUGUUUUAUUGUUCGCAGACGUGGACGACUGUUUGUGUACUGUAAAACUCAUCCCAGACACAAGCAACGACAGGCAUAAUUUCAGUUUUUUAAUGCAAGCAAAACACCUGUUCUUUGAAAAUGUCCCUCAAAAGACUAGUAAGCUUCCGGAGGAAAAUACUAAACUAAUUCUGCAUAUGAAAUGGUGAUCACUGUAAAGAUUGCAUAUAGUACCAGGAUACACGUGAAUGGCUACUGAGCUGUGGAUUUCUCACUAGCUGGUAGAUUGAUCUGUUUCUAUAAUAGCUAUGGCCCCUAAUCAGAAAAAGUGGUGUAAAUGACUGUCAUUAUAGUAACUAGACUCUCAAAAUAAUAUCUGUGUUUAGAACUUAAAUUUAUUUUGAGUUCCAUGUAUUUUUAAUUCUUAUUUUUGGUAUGAUGAUGUUUCAAACUAACAUUUCAUAUAAGAUGCUCAAUAAUAAAAUAGAAAAACAAAUCCUCCAAUGAUGAUGUUUUCUUACUUUCUCUAGUAAGCGUGGAGGUAAUCAUUAAAAUGUUUGUAAAUGAAUAUAAUUUUUCCACCACUUAAGGGAAUAAGCAAUAGUGGAGCUACGUUUUCAUUGUCUGUAAAGUUGUAAGGUAUUUAAUGCUAGUUACAGUUCAGAAUCAAGAUAAAAUAAUUAUAGUAAUUUGAAGUGGAACAGCCUGUAGUAAGUAGUGCAAUAACAAUGAUAAUUGUGCUACAACUACUUGUUGUUAGAUCAUAAAUGCUAUCAAUCAAAAGCCUAAUUAAAAAAAUUAAACAGGUAUAAACAUA